rnacentral:rRNA from 1 species
AUUGAACGCUGGCGGCAUGCUUUACACAUGCAAGUCGAACGGCAGCGCGGGCUUCGGCCUGGCGGCGAGUGGCGAACGGGUGAGUAAUACAUCGGAACGUGCCCAGUAGUGGGGGAUAGCUCGGCGAAAGCCGGAUUAAUACCGCAUACGACCUGAGGGUGAAAGCGGGGGAUCUUCGAACCUCGCGCUAUUGGAGCGGCCGAUGGCAGAUUAGCUAGUUGGUGGGGUAAAGGCCUACCAAGGCGACGAUCUGUAGCUGGUCUGAGAGGACGACCAGCCACACUGGGACUGAGACACGGCCCAGACUCCUACGGGAGGCAGCAGUGGGGAAUUUUGGACAAUGGGCGAAAGCCUGAUCCAGCAAUGCCGCGUGUGUGAUGAAGGCCUUCGGGUUGUAAAGCACUUUUGGCGGGAACGAAAAGGACUGUGCCAAUACCACGGUUCGAUGACGGUACCCGCAGAAUAAGCACCGGCUAACUACGUG